CGAUAGCUGUACUCCCACCGCACGUCGUCGUCGGUCAGCGGGGCAUCGCCGAGGUGGUCGCCGCCGGCCAGCGCCUCCAGCACGGUCGCAUCGCCGUACUUGCCGGUGCCGAUACGGUCCACCCGGCCGUAGGCGAUCAGCACCAGCCGGUCGCCGGGCCCGCCCGCCUCGGCGAUCAGCUCACCGGGGGCGUACUCCCGCUGGGUGAACCGCGCACCCAGCGCGGCCAGCGCCUCGGUAUCGGUGAAGUCCCGCAGGGCGGGCAGUUCGCGCAGCUCCUCCGGGAUGAUCGUGACCUCGGUGCCGGAGAUGUCGAAGUCGAUCCGCCCGUCGCCCACGGUGUGCGCCAGCCGGCGGUUGACCCGGUACGUACCGCCGGAGACCUGCACCCAGGGAAGCAGCCGCAGCAGCCAGCGGGAUGUCAUUCCCUGCAUUUGCGGCUCGGUUUUGGUGGUGGUCGCCAAAUUCCGCGCCGCGGUGGUACUCAGACUCGAAUGCGCGGCGUCUUCCU
rnacentral:antisense_RNA from 1 species